UACGUAGGGAGCAAGCGUUGUCCGGAAUCAUUGGGCGUAAAGCGCGCGUAGGUGGCUUCGUAAGUCCGUUGUGAAAGUCAAAGGCUCAACCUUUGAAAGCCGAUGGAUACUGUGAAGCUAGAGUACGGAAGAGGCGAGUGGAAUUCCUGGUGUAGCGGUGGAAUGCGCAGAUAUCAGGAGGAACACCAAUAGCGAAGGCAGCUCGCUGGGACGUUACUGACACUGAGGCACGAAAGUGUGGGGAUCAAACAGG
rnacentral:rRNA from 1 species